GGCGGGUGCGGUGGUGCACACCUGUAAUCCUAGCAGCUCAGGAGGCUGAGUCAGGAGGAUUGCAAUUUUGAGGCCAGCCUCAGUGACUUAGCUCAACUCUAAGCAUCUGAGCGAGACCCUGUCUCAA
rnacentral:sRNA from 1 species